rnacentral:lncRNA from 13 species
CUCAAGUUCAAGCAAUUUUCCUGUCUCAGCCUCCAGUAUAGCUGAGACUACAGGCACAUACCAUCACCCCCAGCUAAUUUUUUGUAUUUUUAGUAGAGAUGGGGUUUCACUGUGUUAGCCAGGAUGGUCUCUAUCUCCUAACCUUGUGAUCCACCCGCCUCAACCUCCCAAAGUGGUGGGAUUACAGGCGUGAGCCACCGUGCCCUGCUGAAAUGGCACUUUAAUUUUAGUUUCAGUCUUUCGGUAAGUACAGGACUCCCUCCUUAUCUGUGGGGGUAUGUUCCCAAUGGAUGCCUGAAACCUCAGAUAGUGCCAAACCCUAUAUUCAGCAUUUUUCUCCUAUGCCUACGUAUCUGUGAUAAAGCUUAACUUAUACAUUAGGCACAGUCAGAGAUUAACAAAACAAUAAUAAAAUGGAACAAUUAGAAUGAUACACUGUCAUAAAGUUAUGUGAAUCUGGUCUUGCUCUGCCUCAGAAUAUCUUACUGUAUUGUACUCGCCCUUCUGAUGAUGAUAUGAGAUGAUGAAAUGCCUUUGUGACUAGCGAAGUGAGGUGAAUGCCAUUGGCAUUGUGACGUCAUGUUAGGCUACUACUGACCUGCUGACGUUAUGUCAGAAGGGGGAUGGGCUGCUAGGGGUGGUCCGGGUCACUGGGCCGUGUCAGUGUUGAUGGCUGAACAUCAGGAGCUGACGAUGUUGACAGCUGGGGAUCCUGAAUAGUUGAAAGUUUUUUCGUUGAAAACCUUUGGAAGAACAUUUUAAUCGGAAGUUGUCUCUAACUCUUCCAAGCUUUGCUGCCGUUCUAACCCUUUGGUGAUCAUGCAAUGACUUUAAUACUGCAUUCCGACGACGGAUCACAUUUCACAGUUUUGUCUUUUAAAGUCUGAAAUCUGAAACAUUCUGCAAAUGUUGGUAACGUCCACAUUGCUGGCUCUUCUUCAGUUUCUUCUUCCUCUUCCUCUGGGGAUGACUCACGUUCUCCCAAUUCCGGGUUUGCUGCAGGUGUGUCUUUUGGUUAUCUGAAGUUUCACAAAUGUCAUCAUUUUUGAGAAUGGCGGCUUAAAUGAAGCAUGGCUUAAAUGAAGCAUGACCUCAUGAUCCACCCACCUCAGCCUCCCAAAGUGCCGGGAUUAUAGGCGUGAGCCACCGUGCCUGGCCUUGGUUUAAAAAAAAAAAAAAAACAAAAUUCAAAGAAUACAGUAACAUGUCGAUCAGAUGGGUUUCGCUGACCUGUUCCUUCUACCCGAGUUAAUUGCUUAGCUUCUCGAUUCCUUGCUGUGAAUGUUGCUUUGAGGUCAUCCUGUUUCAUUUUUGCAAUGGUUCCAUAAGCUUUCAAGGGUUCAGCUACUUUGGCUUCAAGUCUUUCAACUUCUGCUUGUCAAUAAUCCUGAAGUUCAGUUUUACAUGUUAUUGUUCCCUCUGGUUGGGAAGCUCUGCCGAGUACAGGUCUUAGGUCUUCUUCACCAGGAUUCGUAUUUAUAGAGGACAUUCAACACUUAAUGCAUUGAUUGUAUGGAAAUUAAAAGAAGACCAGCCAGGCAUAGUGGCUCACACCUGUAAUCCCAGCACUUUGGGAGGCAGAGGCGGGCAGAUCACAAGGUCAGGAAAUUGAGACCAUCCUGGCUAACAUGGUGAAACCCUGUCUCUAUUAAAAAUACAGAAAUUUAGCCAGGCGUGGCAGCACAUGCCUGUAGUCCCAGGUACUCAGGAGGCUGAGGCAGGAGAAUCACUUCAACCUAGAAGGCAGA